UGACAUUCUGGAUGCCACUCUGAGGUUUGU
rnacentral:piRNA from 1 species